UCUCUGUCUCUCUCUCCCUCUCUUUCUGUCUCGCUCUCUUUCUCUGUCUCUCUCUCUCUCUCUCUCUUCCAUUUGUGUGAGCACUUCUUCAUAUGAUUCCCAUUGCUGCUGAAAGGAAUCAAACAUGAGUUCAAUCUAACCUGUCCAUCCUCUGAUGUACAUUGCUAUUAAUACAUGAUCAGGGGAUAAUGUAAUUAGAGUCUGCCUGGGAUUCGGCAAGCGAGGAUUUGUGUGAAAUAGCGAUGAAAUCAACAUAGCCUUAAAAUGUUUCUACAAACGCCUCUCAGAAACAAAGAAACUGUAAUAAUAAUACUAAAAUUAUUUCACAGAAACAUUCAUGUGAUUUCAAAUAACAUAAGGAACAAUUUUUGUUUUAAGUUUGAAUUAGAAAAAUGUUAACGCUUGCACUUCAGUUAUUCUGUUUUAUUUCCAAGGAAGAAAAAUGAUUGUGUUAAAAUGUGUUAUUAGCAUGCUGUACACAGGUACUGCAAAAAUAGACGAAGACAAAGAAACAACAUGGACAGACAGGAGUAUCUGUGUGUGGAAGAAUAAACAACAUGGACAGACAGGAGUAUCUGUGUGUGGAAGAAUAAACAACAUGGACAGACAGGAGUAUCUGUGUGUGGAAAAACAAACAACAUGGACAGACAGGAUUAUCUGUGUGUGGAAGAAUAAACAACAUGGACAGACAGGAUUAUCUGUGUGUGGAAAAACAAACAACAUGGACAGACAGGAUUAUCUGUGUGUGGAAGAAGAAACAACAUGGACAGACAGGAUUAUCUGUGUGUGGAAGAAGAAACAACAUGGACAGACAGGAUUAUCUGUGUGUGGAAGAAGAAACAACAUGGACAGACAGGAGUAUCUGUGUGUGGAAGAAGAAACAACAUGGACAGACAGGAUUAUCUGUGUGUGGAAGAAGAAACAACAUGGACAGACAGGAUUAUCUGUGUGUGGAAGAAGAAACAACAUGGACAGACAGGAUUAUCUGUGUGUGGAAGAAGAAACAACAUGGACAGACAGGAUUAUCUGUGUGUGGAAGAAGCCAGUAAACCAGUGUGGACACGGACAUGGCAAAAAAGGCAAAUGUUUUGGUAAAUGUUUUAACCAUCAUUUUUUGAAUGUUGUUUCUUGUUUUUACACUUUAUUGCAUAGAAGUCGGUUUUAGAUUGUUUGUUUCUUUAUUUAGUUUUUUCUGCUACCACCUUUAUGUUUUGUGUUGUAGGGUUUUACAUGCAAAAAAAUGUAACAAAGAUGGCAAAGAUGUCUACAUCUAAACUUGAAUAAUAUUAAUGAUAAUAAUAAUUAAUAAAGUAAUAACAAAACA
rnacentral:lncRNA from 1 species